rnacentral:rRNA from 1 species
GAUGAACGCUGGCGGCGUGCCUAAUACAUGCAAGUAGAACGCUGAAGGAAGGAGCUUGCUCUUUCCGGAUGAGUUGCGAACGGGUGAGUAACGCGUAGGUAACCUGCCUGGUAGCGGGGGAUAACUAUUGGAAACGAUAGCUAAUACCGCAUAACAGUAGAUGUUGCAUGAUAUCUACUUAAAAGGUGCAAUUGCACCACUACCAGAUGGACCUGCGUUGUAUUAGCUAGUUGGUGAGGUAACGGCUCACCAAGGCGACGAUACAUAGCCGACCUGAGAGGGUGAUCGGCCACACUGGGACUGAGACACGGCCCAGACUCCUACGGGAGGCAGCAGUAGGGAAUCUUCGGCAAUGGACGGAAGUCUGGCCGAGCAACGCCGCGUGAGUGAAGAAGGUUUUCGGAUCGUAAAGCUCUGUUGUAAGAGAAGAACGAGUGUGAGAGUGGAAAGUUCACACUGUGACGGUAUCUGACCAGAAAGGGACGGCUAACUACGUG